AAGGGAGUAUGUUUGUGAUUCUUUAAGCAGGCAUUGUGCAAUUGUGUUUUACUAUGAAGAAUAUUUAGCUUCUAACAACAUGCUGAUGAGCCUCUAAGUAGGAUGGUCCAGUUUAUGUGUGCAGGUCCUUAAUGAGGAGAGAACCAGUGAAAGGGAAACAAGGUCACUCAGAUUUGGAGAAGGGUUGUAGCCCAAUGUGCCCUUGCAAGCAGGUGGUCUAUAGCCUCUAUAUAUGAAGGUCACCCUUCAUACUAAGGAUCUGCUGCAUUUCCAGUCUUCAGAGACCAGCUGCAGAACAGAAGCUCCAAGGAUAGACCGAUGGAACUACCUCUUAUGAAUCCUGGCACAAAGACCUGGCUUGUUACUCUGCAAUGAGUGUGCUGGGAGAAAGUGGAAGGAACCUCGCCUCGCGCAGCCGUCCCUGCUGGGUACUGACGGGGUGCCUCCGGUGGGUGCGAGAGAAGAGGAGCAAUGACAGUGACAUUUUGCUGAUGUUCUGGGAGCUCCAGAGCUGACUGCAUGAGCUGCCAUAGCAUGAGCUCCAGCACCACGACUCCCAAGUGGAUUUGUUUCAUCUGCUUCAGGCUGGUAAUGCACCACCCGUGGGACCCCGUCAUCAGCUCCUAGAACUCAGGCAGUGCCCGCUGCUGGCCUGCGAAGUACCCAACGGAGGGCGUUCUCCUGGGGUCGAUCUUUGCCUCCUAGCGCCUUUAAGAGUCUCAGGUGGGACAGCAGCACCACCAGAUCCCAUGGCUCGCUGAUGUUUUCAUGUGCCGGGAUUCACCUCCAGGAAGAGAUCUAAGAAAGCAUCAUUAAAAAUCUGCAUAAGCUUAUGGGAGCAGAAAGUUGACUGGAAAAUGGCUCACGUAUGUAUGCUGCCACUGCCCAUACUGCUGUCUUUGUUGGUCCCUGGAGAGGCGCUGGGAGAGUACAACGGUUGCUGACAGUGAAAAGUGAGAGAAGAGAAGGGAUGCAUUUAUCAGGGAAAGAUGCAGUCAUGACUCUGGCUUGGCAUGAUAAACAGCAUGCACUGCUCAGAGAUCUGAUUGCAGACAGGUCAAAUUCCCCUGCUCUCUCCCCUGCUUGCUGCUGGAUUCCGCUGCGAUUGAUGCGAAGCAGCCUGGCUCUGUGUCCCCUCUGCGCUGUGGGGCUCGGGAACAGGGACAGUUUGGGGUUGGGAAGAGACCAAACUGGGAUUUUUCUAAUGCCAAAAGUUCCUGAUCUCAUUGGUAUAGAUGAUGUCAGUGCUUAUAGAUGUAUAAAUGAUUAUUUGUCAUUCUAUGAUGAUUAUAAGGGGUGGAGAAAUGGGGGGAUCUUGGGUAGAGUCUAGGAGUGGUCUGAGGUGAGGUGGGGGCUUCUGGUAUGGUAGAGGCUUGGGAGUGUGCUUGGGAGAAGAUGGCAGCACUGGCUUGAAACGCGUUGCCACAGCCUGGAGCAGGUAAGGAUGCUGGGUUUAAGAUCUAGGACAGAAGAGAGAGAAUGUGUCUCACAAGGGAUUGAAGGAGCUUAUUUUGGGGAUAUUCGUGCAACUGUCCCUCCCCCGUCCUGUGCACUUGAGUGCCCAUCACAGUCAGUUUUGCUGAUGGAAAUGCGGUGGCUUUGUUUUCUGCCCCACCUUCACCUCCUUGCCUCUUUACUUGUCCGCACAGUAUCAUAUAUCCUGUGGCAUCAUAUAAUUAAACUAGAUGAUUAUGCAGAUGCAAAUGAAUCCCUACAGAAACCUAGUACAUGGACAAAACACCACGAGCAAGUUCUAACUGAUUAUGCAGCUACAGAGAAGAUUCUUUUUAAAAUUAAAUAUACUUUUACAUUUUUUUCAUCUUUUUUAAUGCUAACAACGGAACAUUUUCCUCUCCAGGUAAAAUCUGAAAUAGAUGAAAGGGAGGAAAGACAGCACAGAGUUACUUAGGGAAGUACAGGCUGUAGGUUUCUGGGCUCCAAAGAGCACAAAAUCUUUCCACCCAUUUGCAACACCCCUCGCCACUGCAUGCAGACUGCAAACCCUCUGUGCGUUUGGCUUCCAUGUCUGUGAUUCCCACUCCCUUUUUUAAUAUUGUGAAUUUUCUUCCCAGACCCCCCAAAUAUUUUGGCCCUGCAAGUGCGCUGGAUUUUUUAUUACUGUGGAAACUCCUUCUUUUAUUCCAUUUCUGCACUGCUGCCUUCAGUUCGUGAUUUCUGUUCCUCUGUGGCCUCAGCGAGUGCAUACUGCGGCCUGAACGGGGGCGGUUUUCUCUGCAGUUUCAGUGAAACGCAGCUGUGUGUUGCAGGCACAGAUAAGGGUGGUGGAGGGACUGCAGCCCUCUCGCUUGCGCCAUUUCUCGUUACGUAGUGGAGAAGAGGUGCUGCUUUUUCCUUCUCCAUCAUCCAUCUGCUUUUAUUGAGCAUUUACAAUUGCCAGGAUGUGAUGCUAACACUACCGAUGUUUCCUUGUCCCGAGGCUUGAUGGAUACAUUCGGUGCCCCUGUUAACCUCUCUCCUUUCUCAGUAACACCUUUGUGAUGAUUUUGCCUUUCCAAGCCACAGUUGAUAUCACAAGCCUUCACAGCAGUGAAUCCAGCCUCUUUUGACUUCUUUCCCAAAGGUGUUGAGUUCUGAAAGGGGAAAACUUGUUGAGGAUAUUUUCCAUUGAUAUCAGCGGAUCCAGAAUUUCUUCUUUCUUAUCUACAGUGCUGCUCAUUCCUUCUCCAUUGCUUUCAGCAGGGAGGGGCAGAUUCUGCGUACAGAAUACAACCAUCAUUUUUAAGGGAAGUAGGAAAGAAAAUAAAGAAUCAAAAGCAAAACUAUCAACAUUUUCUGUCUCAGGAUACAAAUCCGGUGGAGCUGCCUUGACACUUGUGCUGCCAAUUAAAGGACAGCAUGUUAUGUGAAGAGCAAUACAGAGGCUUCUCUAAGAGGGAGCUUGCAGCAUAGCAGGAGAUGCCGUGUCUGUGGGAGAACCAAGGAUCAGCUGCUGCCUGAAGCAGAGACUGUGCAGACAGCAUCUUUGACAGCAUUCCUCAGAGCAACAUCCAGAACUCUGGCAGACCAUAGCACAACUUUUCUACCUCAUUAUGUGCUGAGAAACAACUGGUUUGUACUCAUUAGACACUAAUCAAGGUCACCCCUUUGUUGCUGAAUGCUCUCCAUUCACUACACUGUUGGCAGGAGGGCUUGCUCUGCUCCUGUGUGCUCAGGAAAGAAAAAAAACACACACACAAAAUAAAAGGACAAGAAAUCCUUUGGUCAACCAUCUGUUGGAGCACAGGCUGUGGACACAGUGCAGAUACAAACGCCUCGAUGCAUUUUGCAGGUGUGCCCUGUGACCCAUCUUUCCAUGGAGGAAUUCAGUGGGAAAACAGAUUGCACUAGACUGUUCCUGCAACUGCAGUUAAUCGCGCCUUUUCUAUAUUACUGCUACAGGAUUAACACAAACAUUGCUCCUAUUUUCAGGCUUAUCAAAGGCAGCAGCACAUCUCUCUAAUCUCCUAUUUCCCUGCUCUCUUUAAAGUGUUGAAAUGAAUGGAGCGCUGAUGAGCAGGGAUGUGGUGCCAGCAGGGAUGGUGUCAUUUAAUGCCUCGCUAUUUAUGCUAUUUAAUGCCUGUGUGGCUUUAUGUGUCCUGAGUGACUUGCUAACCAUCUGGCACCCUCCACCCUUUCAUAGGGCAGACGGAGGUGUAGACAGCAUCUUCAUUUGUCUCCAGUCCAGAGUGACCAGCAGCAAUAAAGCAGCAUAGUUCUGACGUGCCCAUUUCAGCAUAGCCUGCACCUGCUGCCGCUGAAGGAUGAAGCUUGGCGGUUGUGGUCUAGCGAUCCUCGCUACCAGGCAGUUUGGAUGUGGAUGAGCUAUAGGCACACACCUAUAUUUCUCUUGAAUCGGUUGGCACGUGCAACCUGAAUUUUAUUUCUGGCUGUGAAAGGCCCAACGCUAUCUGAUCCGCAGGAGCACCUGUUUGUACAGAGUUAACUCGUCAAGAGCUUUUCGGGGGAGCUGGAAUCAGCAGAAUUGUAUGUAUCACAUCAGCUUCUUGUCCUAAGAGCCCUACAGCUGGAUUUACAGUGCCAUUGAAUCACAGCCUGAAUCUUUAGCUUUAGUACUUUCGCUAAUCACAAAUAGUUGGGUUGUGUCCUCCAAUCUACGAGGAAGUGGGCUGAGAUCCACCCUACUGUUUUCACACCACUGUCAGCUGGCAUUAACUUUCAGUCAUUUCUCUUUUCAUGCCAGACUGAAAUCAGUGACCUAGAAGUAAAAUACUCUGUAUUUUGUUAGCAAGCAGUGCCCUGGAGUUGUGCAGUCUAAGUGGGCAUGUUUUCUCAGCUAGCUCUUUUGUAUAUCUUGCAAUUGUGGCAAUUCUACUGUAAUUACCACCAGGCCUCUUUAGUAGCAGAAUUUAUUAUUUCCUUUCCACUUUCUCCUAUGUAUUUCUGCUUGGAUCACAGUAAAUUAAGGACUUCCUUUAGUAUUUGAGGGAUCAUGAUAUCCUACUCUAAAGCAUUCAUUUUCAACGAUGACAUUCUCAGAGGUUAUUUUACAGAUUCACUGAGAUUUUUGCAAGGAGGGCAAACUGGAUUCUGUCUGUUUGGCACUUACUGCGCUGUCUGUUAGCGGUACAGCUGUGGGAUCUGACCCUGAAAGUGCUGAAGCCUGUGAGAGUAUUUGCAGGAAGUAAGGACUAGUCAUGUGUGGAGCAUUUUCACAAUCAGCCUUCGUGUUUAUUCGGAGCACUUGUGGACAGUGCUGAUAGUCUGUGGGGAGGUGCUGGCUGCCCUUUCCAGUGAUAUUGCUGAAGGUUCGCUUUAUUCAUCGUUUUAUGGAAGUCUCCAGUUCACGUUGUGACUUUAAUGCAGGCUGUUAAUAUGAGUAAGUUAUAUCACCAUGGUUUUUUGGCAUUCAGAUUCAAGGUCAGAUCCAGUGGGCCAAUUUAUGGGAGUAUCUAAUGAAUUGCCAGCAUCCCAGGAAGUACACAAUUUGAGAUUAGAAGCAGCACCAUCUUAUUACUGUGAUAGUCAAUUGUGAGUGAAAGUGCAGUGGAAGUAAGGACAGGGUAAUGUAACAUGUGAGUGGAACAGCACUCAAUCCGUGUAUUAUGGAAUUGUCAUUCUCUGCCACGGUUCAGCAUAAAUGGACUAAUCUUCAGCUUGAAAAUGAGGAGAGCUUGACUGUUAAAGAAUAGGUCAUUUGGCUUCUGGCAAGUCGAAGAUGCUGUAAUAUUAGCUGUAAGAACUUGUGCAUUCUUAGUAGGGAGAUAAAAAUGAUUAAAUUGCACUACUUGCUUCUCUGUCUUCUGAAGUAAUUCGUAUUUGGCCCUGGAUUCG